GAGAAAAAGAGUAAAAAAGAAAUUGCAUGAACAGGCUCUUCAUUGUUCAUUUACAUAGACUAUUACAAACAUUAUUGAGCUGAAAGAAAGGUGUACAUUGAUUUUUAGUAGUUAAAAUACCUAGAAGAAACCAAACAUCAUACUUUUAGACCUAACUCUAUCCUAAUGCAGCAGAAAAGUAGAACUUAGAAUUACUAGGAAGAGAAAACAGUACUCGUUCACUUUAUUUACAUGGCUUCCCCACUAAUACUCACGGCCUUGUUUUUCCCUCAGAGGACUUCUAUUCUGUGGCUGCAACAACAGCUGAACCUUCCACCAUGAACUUAGCGCCCCAUAUUUCUUCCUCAGUAGCAGGAACGGCGGUGAUCUUGUUUUUGGGGUUCUCAUAGCUUCUCAGUCCUCCAACUGUUGUAGAGUAGAAACACCCUUGAGGAAAAGAAGCAAGUGACUUGCCACAAGCACCUUUACGCAAAUCAAUAUUGUCAGCAAAG
rnacentral:misc_RNA from 1 species